UCUGAUGGAGUGGAGUGGCUCUCUAUUCCAUUGAUCUAGGAGAAGCUCGGAUGUUUUCGAGGUUGCUGAUGAGUCACUGUUGUUGGAUGCCUCGGGCAUUGAUGCUACAGGCAGGAGUCAUCUGCUGUAGAAGCUCGGAUGGAGACUUUCUGUUGGUGAAGUCCGGUAGGAGUCCGAUUGUUAGAGAAGUCCAUCUGGGAUUUACCUGAUGUGGAAGCUCAUCUGAAGAUUAUCCGAAGGAGAAGUCUAGUUUCAUGAAGAAUCUGGCAG
rnacentral:lncRNA from 1 species